rnacentral:tRNA from 1 species
GGGUUAUUUUAAAACUUAGAUUUGAAAUCUAAGUCUGGAUAUAAUUCCGUAACCUU